UGCUUGCAGCUACAACAACGACUAAACUCAGUGCCUUCAGAGGAUGGAGACAAAAGAGGAGAAGAUUCAUGACAUACGAAAGAUAAGUUUUCGUAUUGUAAAAUGGCAGCACCUUGUAAAAAGAAUCAGGGUGAAAAAUGCAGGAGCAAGUGUAGGAUAUUGUUCGUGUAUCUGGGAUUGUGCAUUUAAGUUAAGCUGUUGAAUAAGAACCCUUCUAGAAGAUUCCAUCCAGCCUUUGUUCAACCACAAAUAAGAAAAAUAAUCAGCCGAAGAAGGUAUUCAGUUCGUUCAUUUAUUUCGUCGGUGCAAAUUGGAGAAUUAGGUCCUUUGUGUAGAUGGUGCUGUGAUCUCGAUUCAAUGUGAAUUAUUUCUUUUUUUGCCUGAACCCCCAUCUCUGCGAGUGAGAAAACCACCCGGGACCUUUUUUUUUUUUUUUUUUUAAUAUAUUGUAUUAUUGUGUAGAUUAUAUAUAUAUGUAUGUUGUAGCCGGAAUACUAUAAUAUGAUUUGUAAUUCUGUGAAUAUGUAACAUUAUAUUGCUGGUAUGGCUGUUGAUAUGGUCUGCUGACCUGGACAUUGCGUGGUGGGGUGUUCUUGCACCAUUUUAAUUGCCUGAUAUAUAUUGUUUGUCGCACUUGGGCAAUAAAACAUCGUCGUUAUGUACGUUUUGAGGAAGGAAAAUGAGAUACGAGGGUAAGAAGAAAAACCAGGAGGUUUAUUCUAGUAUUUGCCUAGAAUAAUUGUGUGUGUGUGUGUGUGUGUGUGUGUCUUCAUUUUUAUUUCCUAAUAAAGCCCGGGAUGAAGGGUUUUGUAGAUGCUA